AUUGAACGCGGGCGGGCAGGCCUAACACCUGCAAGUCGAACGGUAACAGGAAGCAGCUUGCUGCUUCGCUGACGAGUGGCGGACGGGUGAGUAAUGUCUGGGAAACUGCCUGAUGGAGGGGGAUAACUACUGGAAACGGUAGCUAAUACCGCAUAACGUCGCAAGACCAAAGAGGGGGACCUUAGGGCCUCUUGCCAUCGGAUGUGCCCAGAUGGGAUUAGCUAGUAGGUGGGGUAACGGCUCACCUAGGCGACGAUCCCUAGCUGGUCUGAGAGGAUGACCAGCCACACUGGAACUGAGACACGGUCCAGACUCCUACGGGAGGCAGCAGUGGGGAAUAUUGCACAAUGGGCGCAAGCCUGAUGCAGCCAUGCCGCGUGUAUGAAGAAGGCCUUCGGGUUGUAAAGUACUUUCAGCGGGGAGGAAGGGAGUAAAGUUAAUACCUUUGCUCAUUGACGUUACCCGCAGAAGAAGCACCGGCUAACUCCGUGCCAGCAGCCGCGGUAAUACGGAGGGUGCAAGCGUUAAUCGGAAUUACUGGGCGUAAAGCGCACGCAGGCGGUUUGUUAAGUCAGAUGUGAAAUCCCCGGGCUCAACCUGGGAACUGCAUCUGAUACUGGCAAGCUUGAGUCUCGUAGAGGGGGGUAGAAUUCCAGGUGUAGCGGUGAAAUGCGUAGAGAUCUGGAGGAAUACCGGUGGCGAAGGCGGCCCCCUGGACGAAGACUGACGCUCAGGUGCGAAAGCGUGGGGAGCAAACAGG
rnacentral:rRNA from 1 species